rfam:Triticum aestivum genome assembly, contig: Triticum_aestivum_CS42_TGACv1_scaffold_230146_3B
AUUCUACUCCCUCCGUUGCACAAUACAUGCCUUCUAUUUGUAAAAAUAUAUAUGUAUCUAGACAUGUUUUAGUAUAUAGGUACAUCCAUUUUUGGACAAAUGGAAGUCAAGUAUUUUGGAACGGAGGGAGUACACA